rnacentral:rRNA from 1 species
AGAGUUUGAUCCUGGCUCAGGACGAACGCUGGCGGCGUGCCUAACACAUGCAAGUCGAACGGAGUUGAAAGGAGCUUGCUUUUUUCAACUCAGUGGCGGACGGGUGAGUAACGCGUGAGUAACCUGCCUUUCAGAGGGGGAUAACGUUCUGAAAAGAACGCUAAUACCGCAUAAGAUUGUAGCUUCGCAUGGAGCAGCAAUCAAAGGAGCAAUCCGCUGAAAGAUGGACUCGCGUCCGAUUAGAUAGUUGGCGGGGUAACGGCCCACCAAGUCGACGAUCGGUAGCCGGACUGAGAGGUUGAUCGGCCACAUUGGGACUGAGACACGGCCCAGACUCCUACGGGAGGCAGCAGUGAGGGAUAUUGGGCAAUGGGGGAAACCCUGACCCAGCAACGCCGCGUGAGGGAUGACGGUUUUCGGAUUGUAAACCUCUGUCCUCUGUGAAGAUAGUGACGGUAGCAGAGGAGGAAGCUCCGGCUAACUACGUGCCAGCAGCCGCGGUAAUACGUAGGGAGCAAGCGUUGUCCGGAUUUACUGGGUGUAAAGGGUGCGUAGGCGGAUUGGCAAGUCAGAAGUGAAAUCCAUGGGCUUAACCCAUGAACUGCUUUUGAAACUGUUAGUCUUGAGUGAAGUAGAGGUAGGCGGAAUUCCCGGUGUAGCGGUGAAAUGCGUAGAGAUCGGGAGGAACACCAGUGGCGAAGGCGGCCUACUGGGCUUUAACUGACGCUGAGGCACGAAAGUGUGGGUAGCAAACAGGAUUAGAUACCCUGGUAGUCCACACUGUAAACGAUGAUUACUAGGUGUUGGAGGAUUGACCCCUUCAGUGCCGCAGUU